UGUUGCGGUUGAAAGCUCGUAGUUGGGUUUCUGCGGAGGAAGCGCGGUCCGCACUUGGUGCGUGUAUCUGGUCUACCUACGCAUCUUCCAGUGAAACGCUACUGCGCUUUAUUGCGUGGCGCGGCAAUCUGGACUUUUACUUUGAGGAAAUUGGAGUGUUUACAGCGAGCGAUUGGUUUGAACAUAUUAGCAUGGAAUAAUAACCUAGAACCUUGGUUCUAUUUUGUUGGUUUCUAGACUAAGGUAAUGAUCAAUAGGGAUAAUUGGGGGCAUUUGUAUCAACACGUCAGAGGUGAAAUUCUUGGAUUGUGUUACGAUGAACCACUGCGAAAGCAUUUGCCAAGGAUGUUUUCAUUGAUCAAGAACGAAAGUGCAGGGAUCGAAGACGAUUAGAUACCGUCGUAGUCUUUUUCGUAAACUACGCCGAUUAAAGAUUGGAGGUCGUUCUUAUUGUGGCUCCUUCAGUAAUUUAUGAGAAAUCAAAAUUCUUGGGUUCCGGGGGGAGUAUGGUCGCAAGGCUGAAACUUAAAGGAAUUGACGGAAGGGCACCACCAGGAGUGGAGCCUGCGGCUUAAUUUGACUCAACACGGGGAAACUCACCAGGUCCAGACAUAGCAAGGAUUGACAGAAUGACAGCUCUUUCUUGAUUCUGUGGGUGGUGGUGCAUGGCCGUUCUUAGUUGGUGGAGUGAUUUGUCUGGUUAAUUCCGUUAACGAACGAGAUCUUAUCCUGCUAAAUAGGAACGUGUGUCUUCGGACAUGCAGGUUGCUUCUUAGAGGGACUUUGCGAAUUGAAGCGUAGGGAAGGUUGAGGCAAUAACAGGUCUGUGAUGCCCUUAGAUGUUCUGGG
rnacentral:rRNA from 1 species